GACGAACGCUGGCGGCGUGCUUAACACAUGCAAGUCGUACGGUAAGGCCCUUUCGGGGGUACACGAGUGGCGAACGGGUGCGUAACACGUGAGUAACCUGCCCACAACUUUGGGAUAACGCUAGGAAACUGGUGCUAAUACUGGAUAUGUGCUCCUGCUGCAUGGUGGGGGUUGGAAAGCUCCGGCGGUUGUGGAUGGACUCGCGGCCUAUCAGCUUGUUGGUGGGGUAGUGGCCUACCAAGGCGGCGACGGGUAGCCGGCCUGAGAGGGUGACCGGCCACAUUGGGACUGAGAUACGGCCCAGACUCCUACGGGAGGCAGCAGUGGGGAAUAUUGCACAAUGGGCGCAAGCCUGAUGCAGCAACGCCGCGUGCGGGAUGACGGCCUUCGGGUUGUAAACCGCUUUCAGCAGGGACGAAGCUUUUUGUGACGGUACCUGCAGAAGAAGCACCGGCUAACCACGUG
rnacentral:rRNA from 1 species